rnacentral:lncRNA from 1 species
AAAGCCCUUAAUCAUUCAAGAUCUCUAACUUAAAGCCUCGGGAGGUGACUAAAGUUACUUUGCUUAAAAAUAUUAUUAAAAAGAGGAGUGCGUUUUACAAGUGCAAGCUGAUUCUGAGCAAUGCUUUUGAGAGCUAGUAAGAAUGAUGGAGUGUACGUGUGUGCAAGAGUAAAACGACUUGUCUUUUAUACAUUAAUGAUCUAACUAAUUAAGCUGAAAAUCUUGUAUCUUCACAUAUCUUUGCUUGACCAAGUAUUUUGUCAAGACUCGACGUCUAAUUUUGUUGAUCACAUGCAUAAUUGACUUAGUCUUUGUCAUGUGAAGUAGUCGUUUAAACCUGCAUGACAAAAAUACAAGAGAUACAAUGGUGAUACCAAUACACUGGUUAUUUAGGAUCUUGGGCCAUUCAAUAUAUUAGUCAAUAUUCAAGAUGUUGAGCAUAAAUAUAAAACUACAAAAUACUACCCAUAACAAUUGCCCCUGAAAAAUUUCCUUUCAAGAUCUUGGAAGACGGAGAUUUCUAGACUUGAAAUCAUGUCGUUAGGCGGUGAUGGGACGCGAAACUUUUAUCUAGAUAAAUCCCAUCCGUUCAACUUCCUAGGAAAUUCAAAUUUUCAAAGGUCGAUAUUUUCGUUCAAAUCUUCCUAUAAAUUCAAACUUUGUUCAUAUAUAUAAAUACUUGCGGUCAAGAAGAUUGUUCAACGCCUUAGGUAAAGUUUUCUCUCCAUUUUCUUUAUCGUUCCUCUUCUUUUCGUUUUAUCAUUAUGGGUAAAAAAAACUCACCAGAUCAAAAUCUAGGGUUGAGGGACCUGUGUUAGAAAAUUUCACUGACUUAGGUAUAUUGCCUCGAGAUGAAAGUGAAAGUUGUGCUUUCUUGAACUCUGAUAUCAAGUUACUUCGAUCAUACGAAAAUUUUCCUUUUGACAGUCUUAAGGGAUUUCGACACUAGGUUGAAGCCUGGUUUCAUAUCUCUUUAUUUGGGUUUGUUUUUAUGAUUUUCCGUUUUCUAUUUGGAUUUCAUUCCCCUUUCUUCCUUUGAUUUCUAUGUUUUUUGAGGUUCCCCAAUUUUCUUGUGCCCAAAUCAUGCCCAUGGUUUGACAUAUUUUGUUCUGGGUUGUCUUCCUUAAUGAAUCUGAAAACCUAGAUCUUGGUUUGUCCGGGAUUGCUAGUAUCUAUGACUUCCACAACUUUGGUUCUUAUCGUAUUAUCUUCAAGAUCAAACCUGGAAAAAUCCAUUUGAUCCUUAAGACUUCCUUUCACGAUGUCGGAUGGAAGAGAAAGUAUUUUUUUCAUCAACAAACAGUCUCUUGCAGGUUUCUUGCUAAGUGAUUGGGUUACUACGGGUAAGAUUCUUAUUUCUACAGUUUAUUGUAUUAUUUUUAUUUAAAAGUCGACUCUUGUUUUUUGAUUUAUCUUGAAUAGUACCGCAGUUUGAGAAACUAUUUCCUCCCAAGGAAGACACUAAGGAAAAAGGUUAAAAGUUUAAUGGCAAUUCUUGCAGAGAAUAGGGUUUUCAAAGUCAUCUUGGAGUGUUCUUAGGAUAAGGAUCUUAACAUAUCUUUGGUUAUUAGAGAUCUAGAGCCCAUCAACAGUCUACUGGUAUGUUAACUUGUUCCUUUCUUACUUUUUGAUUUGUUUUUGAUGUAAUUUUCUUCUUCUUCAGGUUUCAUGCUUACUUGACCAGGUUUGUCAUUCUCUUAUUUCAAUGUCGAGGGCUUUCUUUCUAGAGGGAAAGCCUACAAGUCCUAAUCCCAAGAAGAGGAAGCUUACUUUGGAACUUGGGCAAUAAGUUUUUGACGGUUUAGGCCCUUUUGAAAUUAAGUUGAAGUUAAUUACUCUUACUCAAACUAUAAGUUAUACUUAUCUUCAUUGUGUAAUGUCCCAAAAACCAUAAUAAAAUUUCUCAUUUUACUUUGUAUCAUAGUAUGUAUCCUUGUGUGUAGGAUGUUGAUAUGUUGUAGUAAUUUGUUAGAUUGGUAGAUCUAUUAUGAUUACCUGUAUUGUUGGUUAUUGUUUGUUUGUUUGUUUGUAUAUGUCGAC